rnacentral:rRNA from 1 species
UUGAACGCUGGCGGCAUGCUUUACACAUGCAAGUCGAACGGUAACAGGCCGCAAGGUGCUGACGAGUGGCGAACGGGUGAGUAAUGCAUCGGAACGUGCCCAGUCGUGGGGGAUAACUACUCGAAAGAGUAGCUAAUACCGCAUACGAUCUAUGGAUGAAAGCGGGGGACCGUAAGGCCUCGCGCGAUUGGAGCGGCCGAUGUCAGAUUAGGUAGUUGGUGGGGUAAAGGCUCACCAAGCCAACGAUCUGUAGCUGGUCUGAGAGGACGACCAGCCACACUGGGACUGAGACACGGCCCAGACUCCUACGGGAGGCAGCAGUGGGGAAUUUUGGACAAUGGGCGCAAGCCUGAUCCAGCAAUGCCGCGUGCAGGAAGAAGGCCUUCGGGUUGUAACCUGCUUUUGUACGGAACGAAACGGCUCUGGUUAAUACCCGGGGCUAAUGACGGUACCGUAAGAAUAAGCACCGGCUAACUACGUG